rnacentral:ncRNA from 1 species
AAUCUUCAGGGCAGGGUGUAAUUCCCGAUUGGCGGUAAAGUCCGCGAGCAUUUUUGCAUGAUUUGGUGCAAUUCCAAAACCAACAGUUAAAGUCUGGAUAGAAGAAGAUA